AACUGCAUUUAAACUGAGAUCCUUGAAAAAGAGAGGCUCCUGGGAAGAGCCAGGGCUGAGCCCUCCUGAAGUGCAUGAUAUUCCAGCAGGUUCUGGUAGAUACAGGGAACUUUUCCUGGAAUCUACCCUUUGUGGGGUAUACCUCCUGUCUCCUCACAUUCUAAGACUUUAAAAUGGUACAGAAACAAACUUCCCCAUCACCUUCCUCAUGAGGGUGUUGAAAUAAGAGAGGCUGAGCUGUUUUGGGAGCAGCAACCUUAGCAGCAAGGCAUGAAGGGACCAUUGCCACCACACUGCCCCUUCCUCCCAUCCCAGCUCCUCAGAUCCUGACCUGCCUCACACUGAGAUCUCAGGGGGAAAAAAAAGAGGUAAUUCAACAUCCCUGGUGACAGUCAACAAAGCCAGUGUUGAAACUGGAAGACGCAUGGAUGAAAGCCUUCCUGGGGAUAAAAGAUGGUGCUGGAGAGCUGAAGAGCCACCUGGCAGACUCCCUCUUGGCUAACAAAAAGGCCCUGUCUGUGUCCCCACACUCAAAGGUUGAAAGGAAAUGAAAACCCAGGGACUUCCAGAAGAAUCUCUGGGCCUGGGCCUCACUCUCAUCCUGUGGGGAUGGGUCUGGGCCUGGGUGUCCCCUGAGGCUGAGGGGGAGUCCCCUGGUAGGUACAACAAGGAGACCACAGCCUGGACUUAACUUCAUCCUGUAAGACCACUUCUUAGGCAUGGACUCCUCCUUGGUGCUUUCCAGCUUAUUUCCACUUACAAUUAAAGAACCUAAAAGAUCAUGUAGACCAACGGUCCCAUUUUACUAAUCUCUCAAUGUAGACUACAGGUCUCUAACACACCUUGAAACCUCUCACAAUGCCCUGCAUAUGGGAAAUGCUCAGG